rnacentral:rRNA from 1 species
UACGGGGGGGGGCAAGCGUUGUUCGGAAUUACUGGGCGUAAAGGGCUCGUAGGUGGCCAACUAAGUCAGACGUGAAAUCCCUCGGCUUAACCUGGGAACUGCGUCUGAUACUGGAGGGCUUGAGGAUGGGAGAGGGAUGUAGAAUUCCAGGUGUAGCGGUGAAAUGCGUAGAUAUCUGGAGGAAUACCGGUGGCGAAGGCGGCAUCCUGGACCAUUACUGACGCUGAGGCGCGAAAGCUAGGGGAGCAAACGGGG